rnacentral:rRNA from 1 species
UUGAUUCUGGCUCAGGAUGAACGCUGGCGGCGUGCUUAACUCAUGCAAGUCGAACGAAGCACUCUAUUUGAUUUUCUUCGGAAAUAAGGAUUUUGUGACUGAGUGGCGGACGGGUGAGUAACGCGUGGGUAACCUGCCUCAUACAGGGGGAUAACAGUUGGAAACGACUGCUAAUACCGCAUAGGCGCACAGGAUCGCAUGAUCCGGUGUGAAAAACUCCGGUGGUAUGAGAUGGACCCGCGUCUGAUUAGCCAGUUGGCAGGGUAACGGCCUACCAAAGCGACGAUCAGUAGCCGACCUGAGAGGGUGACCGGCCACAUUGGGACUGAGACACGGCCCAAACUCCUACGGGAGGCAGCAGUGGGGAAUAUUGCACAAUGGGGGAAACCCUGAUGCAGCGACGCCGCGUGAGCGAAGAAGUAUUUCGGUAUGUAAAGCUCUAUCAGCAGGGAAGAAGAAUGACGGUACCUGACUAAGGAGCACCGGCUAAAUACGUGCCAGCAGCCGCGGUAAUACGUAUGGUGCAAGCGUUAUCCGGAUUUACUGGGUGUAAAGGGAGCGCAGGCGGUGCGGCAAGUCUGAUGUGAAAGCCCGGGGCUCAACCCCGGUACUGCAUUGGAAACUGUCGUACUAGAGUGUCGGAGGGGUAAGUGGAAUUCCUAGUGUAGCGGUGAAAUGCGUAGAUAUUAGGAGGAACACCAGUGGCGAAGGCGGCUUACUGGACGAUAACUGACGCUGAGGCUCGAAAGCGUGGGGAGCAAACAGGAUUAGAUACCCUGGUAGUCCACGCUGUAAACGAUGAAUACUAGGUGUCGGGGAGCAUUGCUCUUCGGUGCCGCAGCAAACGCAAUAAGUAUUCCACCUGGGGAGUACGUUCGCAAGAAUGCAACUCAAAUGAAUUGACGG